rnacentral:misc_RNA from 1 species
GAAUUGCGAUACGUAAUAUGACUUGCAGACGUGAAUCAUUGAAUCUUUGAACGCACAUUGCGCCCCGGGGUAUUCCCCAGGGCAUGCGUGGGUGAGCGAUAUUUACUCUCAAACCUUCGGUUUGGUCUUGCCCCAGCUAAAUAUCAACGGCGCUAGAAUAAGUUUUAGCCCCAUCCUUUUUCCUCACCCUCGUAAGACUACCCGCUGAACUUAA